rnacentral:rRNA from 1 species
UUUGAUGGCGACCGGCGCACGGGUGAGUAACACGUAUCCAACCUGCCGAUGACUCGGGGAUAGCCUUUCGAAAGAAAGAUUAAUACCCGAUGGCAUAAUUCUUCCGCAUGGUAGAAUUAUUAAAGAAUUUCGGUCAUCGAUGGGGAUGCGUUCCAUUAGGUUGUUGGCGGGGUAACGGCCCACCAAGCCUUCGAUGGAUAGGGGUUCUGAGAGGAAGGUCCCCCACAUUGGAACUGAGACACGGUCCAAACUCCUACGGGAGGCAGCAGUGAGGAAUAUUGGUCAAUGGACG